rnacentral:lncRNA from 1 species
GUUGCUGGUGGUCCAAACCGAGAACGAUUGGCACUGCGGUGUGAACGGGGUUCCGUCUGAGUUGUCUUGGUUGGUGUUGGUUGCGCUCCACCUUUCGCCAAGAAACCUGCAAACAAGCUUUGCACCACCACCAGGGUGGUGAUGGCCCUCCGACGGUCAAGUCAGAGGAGAUUGGAGGAGGAGGAGAGGUGAUAAUCGCAAGUAAGAGAGUGCUCUGGGAGAUAUUGCUCACCCCCCCCCUUUUCUCCCCCCAGCCGCAUAUAUACCUGGCUGGGGGGUCUCUCAGGGGGGUU